CUCAUUCGGAUUUAUCUCCAUGAUCGAAAGGGUUUAUGUUGUAGAGCUUGUCAAGACGAUAAACGUUGUUGAAGAUCAUAUUAAUCGAACACUGAUCAACACAUAAUCGGCGAUCAUGUGUGUGAAAUUGCUUCUAUGAAAAUAGACUUGGCCACAGGGUGUGGAACCCAUUUUAGCAAAAAAUACAUUCGACUCCGACGAAGAGAGAGAGAGAUAGAGAGAGAGAGAGAGAGAGAAUGUGGGUUUUCAGCGCAGAAGGCCUUCUGGAUUCUCACUCCAUUGUAACAGGUGAAUACAGUUCAGAGAACUCUUGUGGAAGCUUCGGGCUUGAUCGGAGAGACCUUUGUUGAUCCCACCUUCAAUCAUCAAGGUGAUCAGCCAUGGAAUUUCACAAAGUCUAAUGGAUGAAGCAAUGGUUGCGCUCCAGGAGUUUUUUGAAUUGCCUCAAGUGGUCAAGAAAGCGUGUUCACCGCAGACUCCCGCAAAAGAUGCAUGAAUGAGACAUAACAAUUCGGCAAGCUAGCUAAAUCAUGAUUUUCCUUGCUAAAUUUGUUAUUGACAGAGGUCGUUGGACAAUAUUCAGCAGAAGUGAGAUAGCUGUUGGAAAAUAUGCAGCUGAUUUGUCAAGGAUUGGGACUUGAACUGGGGUACUUAGGAGAUGAUCAAUUCACCGAGUAAGUUCCUGGCAGUUAAACCACUACCUGCUGUAACCAGACCCUAGUGUGACUCUUGGAUUGCCUAAACACACAAACAACAAGGGCAUGUGCAUGUGCAUGUGCAUGAACUUCAAGUCUUCAAUGAUGGGGAAUGGCUUCUUGUUGAGCCUCUUCUCAAUGCAUUCGUCCUCAACAUGCGUAAGAGGGAGAUGCAAGCUUUUUACUGAAGUGAUUUGUUUUUCGGCUAAGGGUAAAUUGGUCAUAUUUUUUGAUGUACGAAUAAUUCUAAUUCAAACAUACUUGGUUUAGAAACCAGACUUAACAAGCUUUUAUACCUUGCGAAAA